rnacentral:lncRNA from 1 species
UACAUCAUCAGAGGUAGCCUCGGCAGCUUCGUACAUCGCUUCCGCGGCCUCCUGAAUGUCCUCAUCCACAUUGUCAACAUCCUGCAAGCACAAAACAAGACAAUUAGACUACUCAAAGAAAUUAUAUAAGUACUCAUACUCCAGAAAGGUAACUACCGGUGGUGGAGCUUUGAACGUCUCUAAAUGCUUGCUGACCGAUCGUUGAUGUAUCAUGGUCCAUCUCUUUUUCGGCGUUGGAGCUUGGACCUUUCCACCACUAGCAUCUUCCGCCAGACAUUUCG